rnacentral:tRNA from 2 species
ACGGGCGUAGCUCAAUUGGUAGAGCAUCAGUCUCCAAAACUGAGGGCUGGGAGUUCGAGCCUCUCCGCCCGUG